AGCGAACGCUGGCGGCAGGCCUAACACAUGCAAGUCGAACGAACUCUUCGGAGUUAGUGGCGGACGGGUGAAUAACACGUGGGAACGUGCCUUUAGGUUCGGAAUAACUCAGGGAAACUUGUGCUAAUACCGAAUGUGCCCUUCGGGGGAAAGAUUUAUCGCCUUUAGAGCGGCCCGCGUCUGAUUAGCUAGUUGGUGAGGUAAUGGCUCACCAAGGCGACGAUCAGUAGCUGGUCUGAGAGGAUGAUCAGCCACAUUGGGACUGAGACACGGCCCAAACUCCUACGGGAGGCAGCAGUGGGGAAUCUUGCGCAAUGGGCGAAAGCCUGACGCAGCCAUGCCGCGUGAAUGAUGAAGGUCUUAGGAUUGUAAAAUUCUUUCACCGGGGACGAUAAUGACGGUACCCGGAGAAGAAGCCCCGGCUAACUUCGUGCCAGCCGCCGCGGUAA
rnacentral:rRNA from 1 species